rnacentral:rRNA from 1 species
AUUGGAGGGCAAGUCUGGUGCCAGCAGCCGCGGUAAUUCCAGCUCCAAUAGCGUAUAUUAAAGUUGUUGCGGUUAAAAAGCUCGUAGUUCGAUUUGAGUUGCGGACUGGUGUGGGAGGUCACCGCCCGGUGCUUGCCCGCCAGGUUCCGAACAGCUUCCGUGAGUGGAAGCCAAGCCGGUUCUGCCGGGGUGCUCUUUACCGAGUGUCCCGCGCGGCCGGCCAGUUCACCUUGAAUAAAUGAGAGUGCUCAAAGCAGGCUACUCUGGAAUACAAUGCCCGAAUGUUAGCUGCAUGGAAUGAUGGAAGAUGAUCUCGGUUGCAUUUUGUUGGUGGUGGCAGCCAGAGGUAAUGAUAAAGAGGGACUGUCGGGGGCAUCCGUACUACGACGCGAGAGGUGAAAUUCAGUGACCGUCGUAGGACGAACAACAGCGAAAGCAUUUGCCAAGAAUGUCUUCGUUGAUCAAGAACGAAAGUUAGAGGAUCGAAGGCGAUCAGAUACCGCCCUAGUUCUAACCCUAAACGAUGCUGACUAGCAAUUCGCCGUCGUUAUUCCCAUGACGUGGCGAGACGCCCCCGGGAAACCUCAAGUCUUUGAGUUCCGGGGGUAGUAUGGUUGCAAAAGUGAAACUUAAAGGAAUUGACGGAAGGGCACCACCAGGAGUGGAGCCUGCGGCUUAAUUUGACUCAACACGGGGAAGCUCACCAGGCCCGGACACCAGAAGGAUU